ACAGAUGAUCUGACCAUACCUCUUUUAAUUUGUUACUGUUUUAAAGUUGAAGGGCUGCUGUCUUGGAACUAUUUUCCAAAUAUUUAUUUUAUUUUUUUUAUAGAUUUCUAUGAAUUUUUGUGGUGUAAGUUUGACUUCAGGAGUCUGGUCAGGUUUGCUGCUGUAAUGGACAAUAUUUAAAGGACAUGCUGUGGUACUAGCAGAAAUAGACUUCUAGACAAAACUCUACAAUAAAUCUAAUUUUGAACAACUGCAGUUCUUAGAUUGAUCUGGUGUCAGACUUCAAAUAUAUUAGAUAAACAUAUCAUACAAUGGCGAACAAAAC
rnacentral:lncRNA from 1 species